ensembl:lncRNA
CUUGAGAUCCUGUUAUUUAUAUUACUGAAGUACUGAAUGGCCUUGCCUGAGAACAGGCUGUUCCAGCAUUAACUGGAGUGCUGUGUUUCAAUGGGAGAUGGUCUGUGCCAUGAAGAACUGACACGUGAGGUAAACAAGAAGGACAAGGAGUCUUCUGACAGCUGGAGCAGCCCACGACCACCAGCUGGAAGUGGUGAAGUACAAGUGGCAAAUCUAAGCCAUUUUCCAAGUAUGUCCCUGCAGAGCUCCACUUGUAGUGAGUUCUCCAAAUGGGCCCAUUUCGGGCUGUCCG